AUGAUUACGGAUAAUCAUAAAAUCCGUAUUUUUUGGUUUGCGCUCGUGCGCAAAGUUCUUUCUCCAGCUGUGCUGUGCAGAAGUUGGUCCGCGUGCUCGUUCGUCUUUUGGCUGCACACACACACACAUACAUACACACGCACUUUCAACACACUCUUACACACUCUUCUUAUACACACUCUCUGUCUGGCUCUGCAACAUAGAGAGGUGAGCGCGCGCGCACGCAUGCAUGCAGCACACACACACAGUCUGGCAUACACGCGCGCUUCCACUCUCUGGCGCGCAACGCAACUCUUGCUUCGUGCAACCUUCGCUCGUGCAGAUUUCUCGCUCGCUAUAACUCCACUCUCUCUCGCGCGCGCAGGUACCGCGCACCUGGGGCCAAGCUGCUGUGGGCUGUGUGCUGAGGGCGCGCGCGAAGCCUCUAUCGCAUCCCUUUCUUCCACUCCACGCGCGAGAAGCCAAGGUAAUCAAGGCUUGAAGGGAGGACAGAGAGCGACUGCUGGAAUGACCAGAGGGCGAAAGGAUGAAGAUAUUUUGGGAAUGACUCGUGGUUUUACAGGAAGAGAGCAGAGUUAGAGGGUGGGUGGAGAGACGCUGCUGGAGUGACAGGAGGGGAAAAAGAUGAAGAUAUUUAAGGAAGGAUCUGGUUCUGUAUGAGGAGAGCAGGUACAGACUGAAUAAGAUUGAUUAGGAAAGUGUAAGUGUCUUGGUUUGGGUUGGUUUGGUACAAAUGUAGAAAAAAAUACUUAAAUGCUGUAAUAAGCUGCAGAAAUACUGUCUGAUAAGAAAAAAUGAGCUAAAAAAUGGAGAAAAAUGCUUGAUUGAGGGUGUGUGUGUGUGUAUAUAUAUAUAUAUAUAUAUAUAUAUAUAUCAAUUGUGUACAAACCUCCAUGUACCUAUGUACUGUACUUUACUAUAAAUUCAGUAAUAUAUGCCGUAAUAGACGCAGUACUGUACUAUUUCAAUACAGUACUAUAAAUACAAUACCAUGUACAGUAUUGCACUCCAAAUACAUUACUAUGUACAGUAUCAUGUAGUGUACUAAAACAAUUGCAAAAAGACCUGCACACGGUGACUUUGAGCUAUAAGCAUGCAUGGGCGUGCCAAAGCAUUACGAUGACAUAGGGGAUGGGAGUGGUCUAAAGAGGUAAUAAUAUACUACUAUACUAGAAAAUACAAUACUAUGUGACUUACUAUGCACAGUAUUAUACUAGACACACAGGACUAUGUACAGUGGAAACUAGAAAUACAAUAAUAUGUAUAAUACUAUACAAGAAAUGUAUUAAUACAUACAGUUCUGUACUAGAAAUACAGUAAUAUGUAAAGGACCAUACUCAAAAUACAGUACUGUGUACAGUAUUAUACUAGAAAUGCAACACUAUAAAGUGCUGUACUUACACUGUAUAUAUGUAUCAUACAACUCUCUGCAUAUUUUUGUAUUUAUUGUUUGGUUUAAAACACUUUAAGGAUUGCUGCGUAGCAUCUUUAUCUUUAACUUUUUUAUCUUUAUAUACAAUACCAUGUUUAAUACUGUACAAGAAAUGCAUCCAUUAACACAUACAGUACUAUACUAGAA
rnacentral:lncRNA from 1 species